rnacentral:rRNA from 1 species
GACGAACGCUGGCGGAGUGCCUAAUACAUGCAAGUCGAACGCUUCUUUCCUCCCGAGUGCUUGCACUCAAUUGGAAAGAGGAGUGGCGGACGGGUGAGUAACACGUGGGUAACCUACCCAUCAGAGGGGGAUAACACUUGGAAACAGGUGCUAAUACCGCAUAACAGUUUAUGCCGCAUGGCAUAAGAGUGAAAGGCGCUUUCGGGUGUCGCUGAUGGAUGGACCCGCGGUGCAUUAGCUAGUUGGUGAGGUAACGGCUCACCAAGGCCACGAUGCAUAGCCGACCUGAGAGGGUGAUCGGCCACACUGGGACUGAGACACGGCCCAGACUCCUACGGGAGGCAGCAGUAGGGAAUCUUCGGCAAUGGACGAAAGUCUGACCGAGCAACGCCGCGUGAGUGAAGAAGGUUUUCGGAUCGUAAAACUCUGUUGUUAGAGAAGAAUAAGGACGUUAGUAACUGAACGUCCCCUGACGGUAUCUAACCAGAAAGCCACGGCUAACUACGUG